CAUAAGGGCCAUGAGGACUUGACGUCAUCCCCACCUUCCUCCGGUUUGUCACCGGCAGUCUCACUAGAGUGCCCUUUCGUAGCAACUAGUGACAAGGGUUGCGCUCGUUGCGGGACUUAACCCAACAUCUCACGACAUGAGCUGACGACAGCCAUGCAGCACCUGUGUUCAGGCUCCCUUGCGGGCACGCUCUCAUUACAAGAGCUUCCUGACAUGUCAAG
rnacentral:rRNA from 1 species